GCCCUGUAGCGCAAUGCUUAGCGUGUUGGACUUCAAAUCCAAAGGUCGUGGGUUCGAAUUCCACCUUCAGUG